UAGUCAACCUGAGAAAGCUGAUUAAGAAUGAAUUAAUUAAUAGAGAGGAAAUAUUAAUGAACCUUUUCCUUUCUCUCUAAUCAGGUCAUCCAAGGAAACACAUCUACAAAAAUUGGCUCAAAGGCUUAAAUUUGUGUCAGUACAACUAUGAUGAUGAGCUGCUACCUGUAAGGAUUGUUCAUUAUUAGAGGAUCACUAAAGAAAGAUAUGGGGCUGGUCUCGAACUCUUGACCUCAAGUGAUCCAUCCACUUCAGCCUCCCAAAGUGCUGGGAUUACAGGCAUGAGCCACUGCGCCUAGCCAGAUUUACUUUCUUGGAGUCUGAAGAAGAUGGAGAUGGGCAGAGAGAUGAUUUCCAAACCUACGCGAAAUGCUGAUGCACAAAAAAUAAUAAAAAAGGCCAUGUAAGGACACAGUAACAAGGCAGUAGUCUACAAGCCAGGAAGAGAGGCCUCACCAGAAGCCAGCCCUGACAGCACCUUGAUCUUGGACGUCUAGCCUCCAGAACCGUGAGAAAAUAUCUCUAUUGCUUAAGCCAUCUAGUCGGUGGUAUUUUGUUACGGCAGCCCAAGAAGACUAAUAAGUACA